AUAAAGAUCUUUCUGGAGAUGUAUCUUCAGUAGCUGAAGUGAGAACAGGAUUCAUGGUUGAGUAGGUAUGUUCUUUUUUUUUUUUUUUUAAACUUAAAAUACGAAUUGUGUAGUAAAUAUGCUGAUUUUAUAGCUAUCCCUCUACGCAACAUUCUUCCUCAUCAUUUUAAAAACAGAGCCGAACGUACUGGUUUUAAAUCGCCGAGGGAAGGAGGUGCAAUACCCUCGGAGGGCAGCCUGGGGACCACUUGCCCUACCCCUUCACCAUGGAUUUGUGAAGCCUUCAGUUUCCUCCCCCUCCCCUCCCGUGUGGGGGCCGCAGCCCAGCCCAGCCCUGCCUCCCGCAAAUUCCGGCCGCCUGCUCACGCCCCGCUCCGUGCUGGUGCCAGACGGGGAGGGAGGACGACGAGGGCACGGCAGGGACUUGGGGAGGCGCUGAGGAGCCGCCGCAGGUCGCUCGCCCCGCAGCGUCCUGGGGUUGCGCGGAGGCGGCGGUGCUGGCAGCGGAGCCCUGGGAUCCCGGGAAAUGUAAACAUUGUGUUUCUUCUGAGCACAGUAUAAGCAUUUCUUCACAUCAUCAAUGAAAGCUUAAAGGACGUGUCAUACUCUUAAGUGUUUUGUCACCUCCAUCUUCAUCUGCCUGAACUAGCACGUACUUUUGGAUUUGCAUACCCUUCCACAUGUGUUCAGGUUUUUUAAAUUUGUCUUCCGAUAUCACUCAGUCUUUCCCAACCUGAAUGAGAUGACUUUUUAUUAUAAAUAAAUUAAUUAUCUAAUAGUUUUGAGAGAGGGAG
rnacentral:lncRNA from 1 species